UCAAAUUAUGUUCAUGCGUUUCUAAAAUUUAUAAUUACCGCCAAGGUAAUUGCACGGGACAACCAAUAUCAUGCUCGCAAAACUGGUACCACUGCGGUAGACGCUCCAUCGCUAGACAAGCACUAACCGGACAGAUCGCUCGCGUUCGGUCGACAUUUCAUUUUCUCUCUCGUCGUUCUCUGACAUUCGGUUUCAUGUGACUUAGUUUAAAUUUGUGUUAUACUCUAAUAAAUUUCCAACACAGAAAUCGUUACAUUCGUUCGCUCUCACGUUAAAAUACGCAAUACUUUGUAAUUCACGUUUGUUACUCGGUUGCUUAACCCAUUUGCCCGCUCAACUCGAACCGUGCGAACAAGGAGUGAUUCGUCCGCUAACGGUACCCUGUCGAUCCACGAGCUGUCUUCUGUUCAUCUUCGCUCCAUGGACCACAAGCCGUAACAACUUCGUCGCCGUCUGCAGGUGCAGCUAAGCAUCGAUCAACGACAGCUUUGCGUUACCACAGGAAUACUAAAGAGGUUACUCCCUUUCCCCUUUAACUCGUGAUUUAUAAAUAUACACAUACAUACUACGCCUAGCGU